UGUUGCAUCAUUGAGUCUUUCUGGUGAAUCUUCCUCUCUGAUUUCCUCAUGUCAUUCCUCAUGCUCCCAUUGUUGUUUUUCAUGUUUUUGUUUGGACCAUUUUGGAUUAAGUUAAUGGACAUCUUUGACAACUUCAAAGGUCAGAUUCAGUGAAGAGAGAGGAUAUCAAAAGAGGACUUCUGAUUGAAUGACAAGCGACUGAGCCAUCCAUCUUUUCUUCUUCAGUGUGACUGUCAGAGAUGGAGACCUCUGAUCACAGGAAACAGAGAGGCUGAUUCACUAGAGCUCUUCACAUGGAUCCCGCCUUGUGUAUCAAAACCACCAGAAGUGCAAUCACUACAUGCACUAUGCUGGUUCGGAAAGACGCGAUUCCCAGUCCUUUCCUGGAGCUCACAGAAGACCUCCAUUUCCCAGGAGAACCCUCUGGGACAG